rnacentral:rRNA from 1 species
CCUACGGGAGGCAGCAGUGGGGAAUUUUCCGCAAUGGGCGAAAGCCUGACGGAGCAACGCCGCGUGAGGGAUGAAGGCCUCUGGGCUGUAAACCUCUUUUAUCAAGGAAGAAGAUCUGACGGUACUUGAUGAAUAAGCCACGGCUAAUUCCGUGCCAGCAGCCGCGGUAAUACGGGAGUGGCAAGCGUUAUCCGGAAUUAUUGGGCGUAAAGCGUCCGCAGGCGGUCUUGUAAGUCUGUCGUUAAAGCGUGGAGCUUAACUCCAUUUCGGCGGUGGAAACUACAAGACUAGAGUGUGGUAGGGGCAGAGGGAAUUCCCAGUGUAGCGGUGAAAUGCGUAGAUAUCGGGAAGAACACCAGUGGCGAAGGCGCUCUGCUGGGCCAUAACUGACGCUCAUGGACGAAAGCUAGGGGAGCGAAAGGGAUUAGAUACCCCUGUAGUCCUAGCCGUAAACGAUGAACACUAGGUGUCGGGGGAAUCGACCCCCUCGGUGUCGUAGCUAACGCGUUAAGUGUUCCGCCUGGGGAGUACGCACGCAAGUGUGAAACUCAAAGGAAUUGACGG